AAUAUAGCCCUGUGAAGUUCGCAAAUUUUGUAUAUAUUUGUAUUACGCGCGGGGAAAAUAACCAUUUUUGAGCCGAAAGUGGUUAUUUUUACCGAGCGUAAUACAAAUAUAUACAAAAUUUGCGAACUUCACAGAGCUAUAUU